UGAGUAACACGGUGAGCAACCUGCCUUCAAAGGCGAGGAAUAAUGAGUGGAAACGCUCUGUAAUACCUCAUAACGUAUUUUUACCGCAUGAUAGGAAUACCAAAGAUUUAGUCACUUGAAGAUGGGCUCGGCGUCCGAUUAGCUAGUUGGUGAGGUAACGGCUCACCAAGGCGACGAUCGGUAGCCGUACUGAGAGGUAGAUCGGCCACAUUGGGACUGAGACACGGCCCAGACUCCUACGGAGGCAGCAGUGGGAAUAUUGCACAAUGGAGGAAACUCUGAUGCCAGCGAUGCCGCGUGAGCGAAGAAGGCCUUUUGGUUGUAAAGCUCUGUUAUCAGGGACGAAAAUGACGGUACCUGAGGAGGAAGCUCCGGCUAACUACGUGCCAGCCGCAGC
rnacentral:rRNA from 1 species